UACGUAGGUGGCGAGCGUUGUCCGGAAUUACUGGGUGUAAAGGGCGUGUAGGCGGGACUGCAAGUCAGAUGUGAAAUUCUUGGGCUUAACCCAAGGGCUGCAUCUGAAACUGUAGUUCUUGAGUGCUGGAGAGGAUAGUGGAAUUCCUAGUGUAGCGGUGAAAUGCGUAGAUAUUAGGAGGAACACCAGUGGCGAAGGUGGCUAUCUGGACAGUAACUGACGAUGAGGCGCGAAAGCGUGGGGAGCAAACAGG
rnacentral:rRNA from 1 species